rnacentral:rRNA from 1 species
AUUGAACGCUGGCGGCAGGCCUAACACAUGCAAGUCGAACGAGUGGCGGACGGGUGAGUAAUGUCUGGGAAACUGCCUGAUGGAGGGGGAUAACUACUGGAAACGGUAGCUAAUACCGCAUACCAUCGGAUGUGCCCAGAUGGGAUUAGCUAGUAGGUGGGGUAAAGGCUCACCUAGGCGACGAUCCCUAGCUGGUCUGCGAGGCUGACCAGCCAAACUGGAACUGAGACACGGUCAAGACGCCUACGGUCGGCAGCAGUGGGGAAUAUGGCGCAAUGGGCGAAAGCCUGAUGGAGCCAUGCCGCGUGGAUGAAGAAGGCCUUCGGGUUGUAGAGUACUUACAGCGGGGAGGCGUUACCCGCAGAAGAAGCACCGGCUAACUCCGUGCCAGCCGCCGCGGUAAUUC